ACGCGUAAAACCUUACCCGGGCUUGAAAUGCAUUUGACCGGCUCAGAGACGAGCCUUCCCUUCGGGGCAAAUGUGUAGGUGCUGCAUGGUUGUCGUCAGCUCGUGCCGUGAGGUGUCGGCUUAAGUGCCAUAACGAGCGCAACCCCUCAUCAUUAGUUACUAACAGGGUUAAGCUGAGGGACUCUAGCGAGACUGCCAUCGUAAGAUGCGAGGAAGGUGGGGAUGACGUCAAAUCAGCACGGCCCUUAUG
rnacentral:rRNA from 1 species